GACGAACGCUGGCGGCGGGCUUAACACAUGCAAGUCGAACGGGGUCCAUCCUUCGGGAGAAGACCUAGUGGCGAACGGGUGAGUAACACGUGAGCAACCUGUCUCAAAGUCUGGGAGUAAGCCAGGGAAACGUUAGGUCUAAUACCGGAUGUCUUCAUUUGUAUCCUAUGUUCUUAUGAGGAAAGAUUAUCGCUUUGUAGAGGGGCGUCGCGGCCUAUCAGCUUGUUGGUGGGGUAAGUGGCCUACCAAGGCGUCGACGGGUAGCUGGUCUGAGAGGAUGAUCAGCCACACUGGAACUGAGACACGGUCCAGACUCCUACGGGAGGCAGCAGUGGGGAAUCUUGCGCAAUGGGCGAAAGCCUGACGCAGCCACG
rnacentral:rRNA from 1 species